UACGAAGGGGGCUAGCGUUGCUCGGAAUCACUGGGCGUAAAGGGUGCGUAGGCGGGUUUUAAGUCAGGGGUGAAAUCCUGGAGCUCAACUCCAGAACUGCCUUUGAUACUGAAGAUCUUGAGUCCGGGAGAGGUGAGUGGAACUGCGAGUGUAGAGGUGAAAUUCGAUAGAUAUUCGCAAGAACACCAGUGGCGAAGGCGGCUCACUGGCCCGGUACUGACGCUGAGGCACGAAAGCGUGGGGAGCAAACAGG
rnacentral:rRNA from 1 species